GACAGAGGGGGCAAGCGUUGCUCGGAAUUACUGGGCGUAAAGGGCGCGUAGGCGGACUAUUAAGUCAGGGGUGAAAUCCCGGGGCUCAACCCCGGAACUGCCUUUGAUACUGGUAGUCUUGAGUUCGAGAGAGGUGAGUGGAAUUCCGAGUGUAGAGGUGAAAUUCGUAGAGAUCCGGAAGAACACCGGUGGCGAAGGCGGCCUGCUGGGCAGUAGCUGACGCUGAGGCGCGAAAGCGUGGGGAGCAAACAGG
rnacentral:rRNA from 1 species